rnacentral:tRNA from 13 species
GGCCGAUUAGCUCAGUUGGUUAGAGCUUCGUGCUAAUAACGCGAAGGUCGUGGGCUCUAUUCCCCCAUGGGCCA